GCUAUGGUAAUAAAUGGACAAUGAAAUAAACUCAUUGGACCCGGGGGCGGUACCCGGCGCCUCCACCAAAGUAUAAUAAAUAAAAUUAUAUUUUGGUGGGGGCGAAAUAGGAUCGACAAGAGCGUAAAGAUUGCUUUUUUACUCGGUAUAGUACCACCGUUAUCGGGCUAAUUUAGUAGUUGCAAAUGACAACUAUGCGGAAGCACGUCUCGCUGCUUAAUGCAGUGCGAAUGUUUCAAACUAAGCCUUAAAUCGUCGCAGAUUUAAGCGGGGUUCGAAGGCACCU
rnacentral:tmRNA from 1 species